GCCAGGCGAUGGUAGUCCUGGUCUAAGCGUGUAGGGCGAGUCAUUGGUAAAUCCGUGGCUCAUAAUGCUUGAGACGUGAUGGGACCCCUUUGGUGGGGGAUUCGGUGAUCCUAUGUUGCCGAGAAAAGCAUCGACGUGAGGUUCUAGUCGCCCGUACCCCAAACCGACACAGGUGAUCAGGUAGAGAAUACUAAGGCGUUCGAGAGAAUCAUGGUUAAGGAACUCGGCAAAAUGCCCCCG
rnacentral:rRNA from 1 species